rnacentral:rRNA from 1 species
UACGUAGGGUGCGAGCGUUCAUCGGAAUUACUGGGCGUAAAGGGCGCGCAGGCGGCUCUGAAAGUCAGAUGUGAAAGCCCCGGGCUUAACCUGGGAAUUGCAUUUGAUACUCUGGAGCUUGAGUGUGGGAGAGGAGAGUGGAAUUCCCAGUGUAGAGGUGAAAUUCGUAGAUAUUGGGAAGAACACCGGUGGCGAAGGCGGCUCUCUGGACCACAACUGACGCUGAGGCGCGAAAGCGUGGGGAGCAAACAGG